AGCGAACGCUGGCGGCAGGCCUAAUACAUGCAAGUCGAGCGCACCUUCGGGUGAGCGGCGGACGGGUGAGUAACGCGUGGGAACGUGCCCUUUGGUACGGGAUAACUGAGGGAAACUUCAGCUAAUACCGUAUGUGCCCUACGGGGAAAGAUUUAUCGCCAUUGGAGCGGCCCGCGUUGGAUUAGGUAGUUGGUGAAGUAAAGGCUCACCAAGCCUACGAUCCAUAGCUGGUCUGAGAGGAUGAUCAGCCACACUGGGACUGAGACACGGCCCAGACUCCUACGGGAGGCAGCAGUAGGGAAUCUUGCGCAUGGGCGAAAGCCUGACGCAGCCAUGCCGCGUGAAUGAUGAAGGUCUUAGGAUUGUAAAAUUCUUUCACCGGGGAAGAUAAUGACGGUACCCGGAGAAGAAGCCCCGGCUAACUUCGUGCCAGCCGCCGCGGUAAGAC
rnacentral:rRNA from 1 species